rnacentral:rRNA from 1 species
UACGGAGGGUGCAAGCGUUGCUCGGAAUCAUUGGGCGUAAAGCGCGUGUAGGCGGCUUUGCAAGUCUGGUGUGAAAUCCCGGGGCUCAACCCCGGAAGUGCAUCGGAUACUGCUUAGCUAGAGGACGAGAGAGGAUGGUGGAAUUCCUGGUGUAGGGGUGGAAUCCGUAGAUAUCAGGAGGAACAUCAGUGGCGAAGGCGGCCAUCUGGCUCGUAUCUGACGCUGAGACGCGAAAGCGUGGGGAGCAAACAGG